rnacentral:rRNA from 1 species
AUACGGAGGGUGCAAGCGUUACUCGGAAUCACUGGGCGUAAAGCGCGCGCAGGCGGUCUUUUAAGUUGGAUGUGAAAGCCUAUGGCUCAACCAUAGAACUGCAUCCAAAACUAUUUAGCUAGAGUGUGGGAGAGGAAGAUGGAAUUAGUUGUGUAGGGGUAAAAUCCGUAGAGAUAACUAGGAAUACCAAAAGCGAAGGCAAUCUUCUGGAACACUACUGACGCUGAGGCGCGAAAGCGUGGGGAGCAAACAGGAUUAGAAACCCUAGUAGUCC